GAAUAACGAAUUUUGCAAUAGUUUUCUUAGUUUUCUUUCCAGUUAAAUUUCCCGCCCUCAAGGGCAAGAGACGAAUGAACUCUCUGAGUUUAAAGUCUCUUUAAUUCAAUACCGUUACCGUUUCUUACCAGCUAUGAAUACACCCGUUCGAAUGAUGUGGCUUUUUUGCUUCCAUCAACUGCAGUCAACAGCAUCGGCUUUCCCGUAGCAGUAUCCUUCAAGCCAUGGUGACUGUUCCAGGGGACAACAUCAACAGCAGCAGCAUCUGGACCUGACCAUCGAUAGUGUUUCGAGCAACUUUCCAUAUCGGAGAUCUCGUGCUUCGCGCACAUUGAAGAAA